UACAGAGGUCCCAAGCGUUGUUCGGAUUCACUGGGCGUAAAGGGUGCGUAGGUGGUGAGGUAAGUCGGAUGUGAAAGCUCGGAGCUCAACUCCGAAAUGGCAUUGGAAACUACCUCGCUCGAGGGUUGGAGGGGGGACUGGAAUUCCUGGUGUAGCGGUGAAAUGCGCAGAUAUCAGGAAGAACACCCGUGGCGAAGGCGGCUCUCUGGGACGGUACUGACGCUGAGACGCGAAAGCGUGGGGAGCGAACAGG
rnacentral:rRNA from 1 species